UACGUAGGGGGCGAGCGUUGUCCGGAUUUAUUGGGCGUAAAGCGCUCGUAGGCGGUUUGGUAAGUUGGAUGUGAAAUCUCCAGGCUCAACUUGGAGGGGUCAUUCGAUACUGCCAUGACUAGAGUUCGGUAGGGGAGUGUGGAAUUCCUGGUGGAGCGGUGAAAUGCGCAGAUAUCAGGAGGAACACCCGUAGCGAAGGCGGCACUCUGGGCCGGAACUGACGCUGAGGAGCGAAAGCGUGGGGAGCGAACAGG
rnacentral:rRNA from 1 species